AGCCAUAUCACAUUGAAACACCAGUUCUCAUACAAUCACUGAAGUUAAGCAAUGUCGUGCCUGGUCAGUACCUAGAUGGGUGACCACUUGGG
rnacentral:rRNA from 1 species